GGUUGUGCGCUGGUGUUUGUGGACCCUGCCAGUGGGGGUUGUGCGCUGGUAUUUGUGGACCCUGCCAGUGGGGAUUGUGCGCUGGUAUUCUGUGGACCCCGUCAAUGGGGGUUAAACGUUGGUCAUAGUCGAGGCUGUUGAGUUACGAGUGUUUUGAAUCGAAUCGGAUUUAUAAUUAUAUUAUAUGUGAAUAUUUGAAAUUAUUAGAUUUGCAUUAAAUCAGCAUGAAAUAUAUUUUUAUGUUUAUUUGCAGCAUUAUUCUUGAAAAUUAUAUAAUAUCUGAAA
rnacentral:lncRNA from 1 species